rnacentral:piRNA from 1 species
UGGCUAUGUGCUAAAGUGUGCUGUGAUUU